rnacentral:rRNA from 1 species
GACGAACGCUGGCGGCGUGCUUAACACAUGCAAGUCGAACGGAAAGGCCUUUUCGGAGGUACUCGAGUGGCGAACGGGUGAGUAACACGUGGGUGAUCUGCCCUGCACUCUGGGAUAAGUCUGGGAAACUGGGUCUAAUACCGGAUAGGACCGCACUUUAGCUUCUGUGUUGGAAAGUUUUUGGGGUGUAGGAUGGGCCCGCGGCCUAUCAGCUUGUUGGUGGGGUAAUGGCCUACCAAGGCGGCGACGGGUAGCCGGACUGGGAGGUUGGUCGGCCACAAUGGGACUGGGGUACGGCCCAGAAUCCCAAGGGAGGCAGGAGUGGGGAAUAUUGGCCAAUGGGGGCAAGCCUGAUGGCGCGACGCCGGGUGGGGGAUGAAGGCCUUCGGGUUGGAAACCCCUUUCGCCAGGGACGAAGCGUUGUGUGACGGUAACUGGAGAAGAAGCACCGGCUAACUACGUG